GAUGAACGCUGGCGGCGUGCCUAAUACAUGCAAGUCGAGCGAACAGACGAGGAGCUUGCUCCUCUGACGUUAGCGGCGGACGGGUGAGUAACACGUGGAUAACCUACCUAUAAGACUGGGAUAACUUCGGGAAACCGGAGCUAAUACCGGAUAAUAUAUUGAACCGCAUGGUUCAAUAGUGAAAGACGGUUUUGCUGUCACUUAUAGAUGGAUCCGCGCCGCAUUAGCUAGUUGGUAAGGUAACGGCUUACCAAGGCAACGAUGCGUAGCCGACCUGAGAGGGUGAUCGGCCACACUGGAACUGAGACACGGUCCAGACUCCUACGGGAGGCAGCAGUAGGGAAUCUUCCGAAAUGGGCGAAAGCCUGACGGAGAAACGCCGCGUGAGUGAGGAAGGUCUUCGGAUCGUAAAACUCUGUUAUUAGGGAAGAAAAAAUGUGUAAGUAACUAUGCACGUCUUGACGGUACCUAAUCAGAAAGCCACGGCUAACUACGUG
rnacentral:rRNA from 1 species